AAAAGAAACCAACAGGGAUUGCCUCAGUAACGGCGAGUGAAGCGGCAACAGCUCAAAUUUGAAAUCUGGCUUCGGUCCGAGUUGUAAUUUGUAGAAGAUGCUUUGGGUGUGGCUCCGGUCUAAGUUCCUUGGAACAGGACGUCGUAGAGGGUGAGAAUCCCGUAUGUGACUGGCAGCCUUCGCCCGUGCAAAGCUCUUUCGACGAGUCGAGUUGUUUGGGAAUGCAGCUCAAAAUGGGUGGUAUAUUUCAUCUAAAGCUAAAUAUUGGCCAGAGACCGAUAGCGCACAAGUAGAGUGAUCGAAAGAUGAAAAGCACUUUGGAAAGAGAGUUAAACAGUACGUGAAAUUGUUGAAAGGGAAGCGCUUGCAAUCAGACUUGCGCGCGGUCGAUCAUCCGGCGUUUUCGCCGGUGCACUCGAUCGUGCUCAGGCCAGCAUCGGUUUGGGUGGUUGAAUAAAGGCCUGGGGAAUGUAGCUUCCCUCGGGGAGUGUUAUAGCCCUGGGUGCAAUGCAGCCUACCUGGACCGAGGACCGCGCUUCGGCUAGGAUGCUGGCGUAAUGGUUGUAAGCGACCCGUCUUGAAACACGGACCAAGGAGUCUAACAUCUAUGCGAGUAUUUGGGUGUUAAACCCAUAUGCGUAAUUAACGUGAACGGAGGUAAGAGCCCUUAAGGGUGCAUUAUCGACCGGUCCUGAUGUCUUCGGAUGGAUCUGAGUAAGAGCAUAGCUGUUGGGACCCGAAAGAUGGUGAACUAUGCCUGAAUAGGGUGAAGCCAGAGGAAACUCUGGUGGAGGCUCGCAGCGGUUCUGACGUGCAAAUCGAUCGUCAAAUUUGGGUAUAGGGGCGAAAGACUAAUCGAACCAUUGUUACUGGGUGGUCAAAAGAUGCCUGUGGAAAGCAGCAUCUAGUCCAAGAGCCAUGGGCAAUAUUACCAAAUUGUUCGGGGACGUCCUGUUUUAAAUUCUAAACUACCGCAGCUGCCUCGAAAGACGUAGUGCGCACUGGGUUAGCGACCCUAGGGAUGGUAAUAACGUUUAGAUAGGGAUUAUCCGCAGCCAAGUCCUACGGGGAUACUUCUCCCUACGGAUGCAGUUCACAGACUAAAUGGUGGUAGGCCUAGCGACGCUAGGUUUAAGUUAUAGUCGAUCCGCCAGGAGACUGGUCGACGUACGCGGACAUUGCAAAAGUGGCUUUUGUUUUUGUGUUGUCGUCGCUACGUUGGGAGACGUGCCCAGCACGUCUUUGGGGAAGUUAGCUCCUUG
rnacentral:rRNA from 1 species